rnacentral:sRNA from 1 species
GCUCUUGUAGCUCUCCUGGCCAGCGAAGGCACAUUAAUGUGCAACGCUUGGUAGGUUCGAUGCUCGAGCAAGGCAUGGAAGAGACAGAGAGAGAAGUUGAUCAUGAUCAUUUCACAUGUGAGAUAUUCUAAAAUAUCUUUUUCUUUUCUUUUCUUUUUUUUGUGUAGAUGGAGAAAAAUACUAAACGUGUGGACAUUGGAUAAGAUCUUUAAUUCUUUAUUAGGAAAACAAUUUUGUAGCUGAGAAGCAGACAAUAAUAACUAAAAUUGGU